rnacentral:rRNA from 1 species
AGCGGCGGACGGGUGAGUAACGCGUGGGGAACCUGCCCUAUACAGGGGGAUAACAGUUAGAAAUGACUGCUAAUACCGCAUAAGCGCACGGAGCCGCAUGGCGCUGAGUGAAAAACGAUAGUGGUAUAGGAGGGACCCGCGUCUGAUUAGGUAGUUGGUGGGGUAACGGCCCACCAAGCCGACGAUCAGUAGCCGACCUGAGAGGGUGACCGGCCACAUUGGGACUGAGACACGGCCCAAACUCCUACGGAAGGCAGCAG